UCAAGUGCUCGAAACUACAGGCUCGAGUAACCCAAGUGAAACUUCAUACGUUCGAGAUAUAAGGCUGUUGGCCCGUAUGAACAAUAAAAUUUAAACAAUAAGUACAGUAAUGAGAUUGCAUAACAAAAUAAGAAAACUGUAAAGAGCGAAAAAUAAAUAAAUUUUACAUUGGAAACUUCUGGUUCCAUGAAUAAAGAAAACACACAGAACUUCUGGUCUAGUUAACUUCACAGAUAUGAUAAUCUUGAUAUUCGGAUCUCCUCUAGUUACACAAAAACGUAAUAUCAUAUAAGGUGAGGAACUUCGGGCCCUCGUAUAACUAGGGAUCACAAGAUGUGGUUCCGUCAUAUUAUAUAUGACUUUAAGGGACUUUUGGCCCUCCUUAAUUGCAAAAGCUUUGAGAAUCUUCAUAUCGUAAUUUCAUUAUAUUACUCUUUGAGGAACUUCAGGCCCUCCAUAGUUCGAUCAAAAGACUUCAGGUCUCGAUCUAUGAUCACACAAUUCACAACUAGGUGUAAGUGUGUAACCAUGAGUUUACUCUCAAAUAAUAAAAUUGAAACAUAUCUUGAAUCCAAAUGGGUCAAAUUGAUACAUACAAACAUGAAAUCAAAAGUCGAUAUUAGCAUCACAAUUGUCACACCCCAAUUUUUGAAAGGAAAUUUUCAAAAAUUUUGGCAUAAUAUCCCUUAAAAUAAAAUAAUCCCAAAACCUGUUUCAACAAAAUUUCAAGGAAACUAAACUCAAUGCGGAAAGUAAAAUUUACACACAACUCCAUAUUGAGUUAAAUAUUACAUUUCCUUGUUUACAAAAACUCGAGAGUCAAGAAAAUGAGACACUCACAUGAGUUUAAUAUUGUCUAUCCCAAUGUAUAUAUAAAAAUAAAUAUAUACAAUGAACAACCAAAACCCAACAAAAAACCCUGCCACUAAGCCUCCACCUCAACCCUGCUGAUCCUCACCUGCAGAUCUAACCCCUACACCAAGAAUUGGUGCACCGGGUUGUAAACAACAAACCCGGUAAGCUAAAAAGCUCGUAUGAGUAAACUCAAAAAUAACACAACAUUUAUCACAUCCAAUAUUCUCAACAACACAAUAUCACAUUAUUAUUCUCAACAACACAAUAUCACAUCAUUAAUUCUAUCAUUUCACAUGGAAAUAUUUACCUGAACAAAAUAUAGAUAUUCCACAAGAAUAAUCUAUAAAUAAUCAAUAAACUCAUGAUCACAUGAAUCUCAAAAUAGCACAUAAAGAAAACUUGUUUUACCUUACCUUUGAGCCGUUGGCGAUCAAACUCAUAUAUUUUUAAAAACAAUUAAAAACAUAAUAUUAAAUCCAACAUCAUCAUCAUUAUCAUCAUCACAUGACCAUAAUUAAAUUUGGUUCAAAAGUGAAGCUUGGUGAGUUUUACUCACCUAGAAAUCCUGUUGCAAAACCCCCAACACAACGAAGGCAAGCCAAUCACAAAAUCACAAAUCACCUAAAAUCACACAAUUAAAAACCUUAGAAACCAAGGUAUUAAAGAAUAACACAAUACCCUUAAACUAACCCUUAGCUCAAGGGAGGACAACUUCCCAAAGUCGUUGAACUCAACGACACAAUAGAGCUGCCUCAACUCUUCAAAACCUAAACUCUAAUCCAACCAAAUCAACACCAAUAAACCUAAGUCCUAGCAUGCCAACAUUUCUUAAAAACUAGCCACACUACCACUCAACAAGCUCACAGCAGAAGGACUACCUAACCACAGGAAACUAGGGUUGCAACUCAGCCGGACGCGCUGCCACGCGCCGCCACAGGCGGCGGCGAGUGGGCCCCAAGCGCCACCCCAAACUUUCGAAUUUGAGAAAACUCCCAACAGCAAAGUUGAAGCUUGAACCAAGGGAAACAACUUUCAUACCUGAGACUUCGACCAAUUUUGGCCGGAACCUGCCGGAAACCGUCCCAAACCGUGACCAGAAAAUCAAUUCCAAAACCUGCAAAAUCAGCCUCAAAACCUUAAAAACUUGCUUCAAUCUAUGCCUAGACACUACUAGGAGGAAGAGGGGAUCAAGACUCACCUAAGGACGCCCUUCGUCGCCGCCGUAUACGGCGGUUCCGACCGGUGGCACAGUAGCCCCCUUUUCCGGCUGAAAGCGUCGUUUCCGGCGUCCCACACCGAGCAGCAGCUACCCAGCCUUGAAGAGGGCACCUGUGGGAGUCGAACGGGACCGACGGCGGUCCGAUUGGUGGCCAGACGGCGGAGCUAGCUCCGGUGGAAGGUUGGUUCUCGGGUGAGCUCGGGAGAGAAAGAGGGAGAAGAGAGAGAGAAGAGAGAAAAGUGAGGAAAGAGAGCAGAAAAAAAGAGGCUGACUUGUUUUUUAGGGUUCCUAAAAACAUCUCACACACAUUUUUCUACUUAUACUCUUUUCAAACCCGGAAACAAACUUUCUCUGAACAUAACUUUCUCAUACGACCUCCGUUUUAGGCGUGCCGCAUGUCUACGAACUCGUAUCGACAAACUCUACAACUUUCGUGAAGGAAGUUUUCGAAGAUAACUUACGGAAAAUAAAGUCAACUUUUGGCCUCUCAAAAGUCAAAGCACUUUAAAUAAACUCCCGAAACUUCAACUUCACAUAACCCCAAGAAUUUCUAUAAAUAAUCCUUCAUUAAAUAACACUACCAGAAGAAAGACUUUAGACCGAGAAAAAAAAAAACCAGGCCGACGAAUCAAUUUUUCGUCGGCUAAAGUACACUUUAGCCGACGAAAUUUUCCUUCAUUGGCUAAAUUAUAUUUUCGUCGGCUAUAGUCGA
rnacentral:lncRNA from 1 species